AGCCUGUGAUGAACAAUGAGUAAGAGUAGUGGACAGAAGUGGUUUCUGAAAAAUACAUAUUUCUGAGGCU